AGCAGGACAAUGGUGGAUGAUUUGGGGAACAGCUGAGUUAAAACAUGGGUUGAAAUUACUGUCGGUACUGCGUACCCACACCUUGAGUCGUGUCAGAAUGAUGGGCCUCACUGUUAAUUCCCUACAUUUGACUUAAAGAUGGACAAGGAGAGCUGCUGUUGAUCAUGUCUAUUUGACACGAUGAUAGACUGAAGAUUUUACAGCAGGUAGUGUCCUAUGCGGAACAUCUGUGUUAAGAGUCGUCAUGAACGCGAGCAUAUCGGAUCAGUGGCCCUUGAUGUUCUGAACAGUAAUAU